rnacentral:rRNA from 1 species
CGGACGGGUGAGUAACGCGUGGGUAACCUGCCUUAUACCGGGGGAUAACAGCCAGAAAUGACUGCUAAUACCGCAUAAGCGCACAGAACCGCAUGGUUCCGUGUGAAAAACUCCGGUGGUAUAAGAUGGACCCGCGUUGGAUUAGCUAGUUGGCAGGGCAGCGGCCUACCAAGGCGACGAUCCAUAGCCGGCCUGAGAGGGUGAACGGCCACAUUGGGACUGAGACACGGCCCAG